UGCUUCAUUGCUAAAGAGAUAUUAUCAGCUCAUCAUCCAACUGGGGAAUCUGCUGCGCAGUUAAAUCAUGCUUAAACUCCUGACGCGAAACAAUGUAACCAAAUCUAUUAUAUCUGGGAUAGCUGCGGCUGCUAAACAAGAUGCAACAGAAGAUCUGUUCGUGUAUCUAUAAAACUUUAUUCAGGCACUCUACGAUUUGACUGGCGAAAGACAACGUUGAUUCACAAAGAAAACAGACACUAUUUUUUAAUGUAUACUGUGUUCAAUUAUAGUUUCGGUUAUGGAGGAUAUUUUAUGAUCUUUUGAAGCUGCGUGUUUCUGACUUGGCGUUGUUCCUUUUAUAAUGGGAUGGGGGGCCACAAUAUUUCAUUAUGAAAACUGGUGCGAGAGGGACCAUUUUUCGCGUGACAUUUGUCUUUCGUGUAAUAUUUGGACACACAGAGAUACUCUUCCAAACUCUCCAGUCUCUGGAUCUCAGGAAAUCGUUUGAUCGACUCGACAGUCCCCUACAUGCACUGAAGCAACUCGGGGAAGAUGCCAAGUUUGAGGGAUUUUAUGAAGAAACUGUACAGCUCCGAGGCCAUGGAGAGGAACGCAAACGAGAAAGACUCCGCCGUGGCUGGGAUGAUUAUGAACAAGGGUUCAGCUGCUUUAAUGAUGACACUUUCUAAGCAGCGGUUCUCAAGCUAUGGGGCUUGGCAAGGGGUGCGUUAAGUGCGUGCGCGGCUCAGAGCGGCUCAGUAAAGAAUCAGCUUCACGACUCGCUCGGUUCCGCUCCCGCUGAGCCGCUCAGAGCCGAUCCUGAGCAUUUCUCAUCAGGGAUCAGAGGGAGCGGACGGAAUGGACACCUGCAGGAAACAAGUGGAGAUGACAGGCAGGAUUGACAAAUACGAUGAACUGGUUUCGACUUAUGAAGUUAUGUAUUCAUUGGCUAAAUAAGAUGCAGAUUGCUCUGCACAAGACCCUGUUGCUGUCUCUGGCUCAGCUGGGGGGAGAGCAGUGCUGCCCUGUUCUUACACCCCCACCCCUGGGCAGGAUGUAGAAGUCAGAUGGCAUGCAUAUCCAGAUCAGGGAGAAGCUGUUCCAUUAAUCAACUCAAAGACCCCCUCAGCACCCAUCCCUGCGCAGUGGAGCGGCCGAGUGAAGCUGUCUGAUGAAGUCUCCUCUGGAAACGCCUCUCUGCUAAUCUCUGAGCUCAGACUGGAGGACACUCUGCAUUACCUGUGUGACGUGUGGAUCAAUGGGAUAUGUGUCACUUACAGGAAUGUUAAACUGACAGUUCAAGCUUGCCCUCCACUAGACCGUGUUGCUGUCUCUGGCUCAGCUGGGGGGAGAGCAGUGCUGCCCUGUUCUUACACCCCCACCCCUGGGCAGCAUGUAGAAGUCAGAUGGUAUGCAUAUUCAGAUCAGGGAGAAGCUGUUCUAUUAAUCAACUCAAAGACUCCCUCAGCACCCAUCCCUGCGCAGUGGAGCGGCCGAGUGAAGCUGUCUGAUGAAGUCUCCUCUGGAAACGGCUCUCUGCUAAUCUCUGAGCUCAGACUGCAGGACACUCGGGAUUACAUAUGUAUAGUGUGGAUCAAUAGGAUAUGUGUCACUAACAGGAAUGUUAAACUGACAGUUCAAGGACCUCCAAAGAGAGAUUCAACUACUUCAAGAACAACAACGACCACAACCCCGACAACUAGACCAUCAGCAACCCCGACAACUAGACCAUCAGCAACCCCGACAACUAGACCAUCAGCAACCCAGGAAACCAGCCCAUGCCCAACCCAGCAGGGGAAUGCAGCAGCACAGAGGAGAUCGUUCUGCAUGAAACCGCUUUGAUAACUGGAUUCUAAUUGGAUUGCAUGUACCUGUAUUUAGUGAGUGUUGUGAGUUAAGCGGAAGUUCAAUUAUUCCUGUGUGUUGCUGCUGCUGGUUCCCUAUGCCAGUAUAGUCCAUUGUGAAAGAGUAUUGCUGUUACUGUAACCCGCUGCAUCCUGCCUGUGCCUGCAUCUCUUCAUUUCUAUAUCAUUUUAAUAAGAGCGUUUUAGCAUUUUGAUAUAUUUCAUUUUCUAUUCAUCACUGAUUGCUGUUGCUUUAUUUGUUAAUAAAGUAGUUGGUGCUGUUUACUAUAGAUCAUUGUUACAUACAGUUCUAAAUUCUUUUUAGGAAUAUUAUGUAUAAAAUGCAUUAGAGAAAAAGCUUCUACUUGGUCUUGCAAAUUAAAAACAGUGAAUUACUAAAUGUUAAUUGCACAUUGAAAUGUGUUAUUGCUUUUCCUUUUUUGCUUAUGAAUAAUAAAAUAUUUAGCUGUG